UGCCUAUUAAAUACUCCCUAGCGAAAUUUUGAGGAUGAUCUUCUUCGAAAAAGUGGAAACUGGGCCAUCUAUAAAGUCUAAUCAAAGUUGAGUAAAGCAUAGAAAAAUAAAAGAGAGUGACUUAAAAUGUGCUGUUUGAACAUGUCUAGUACGAUGCCAGAUUUUGUUUAAAAACUUUUAGUUUCUUUAAAACUCCCCUUCCCCUUCCCAAUAGCAUCAUUUUCUCUUUAGGGAUUCAUGUUUCCAGAGAAGUUGACUUCACUCUCCCUUCAGAGAUGAUGUAACUAAUGUAGGCUGUCCAAUCAGUGUAUUUCAUCCCUUUGCACUUAAUGAUUAGUCAGGGUAGGCACUGAUCCUGAAGUAGCUCAGCUGAAUAAUUUUCAGGACUUUUGCAGAGAAUGCUGAUCUUCUCUUUCUUGCUAGACAAGAGGAAGAUGCCGACAGCCAUUUUAGAACCAUAAGAGAAGCCAGUCUUAGAAUGGUGCAGAGACCAAGGUAGCCACAGCAGAGAGAAGGAAAUAAACAGGGACCUUGAUGACAUAUUGAGUUGUGGGGUCAAGCCCCACCUAAAGCAGCCUCACCGGUUGGCCUGUGGACUCUUCAUUGAUGUGUACCAAUCAGUUUUCUUCAUUGUUUAAACAAGUUUGAGUUGGGUUUUCUAUUACUUAAAAUCAAAUGCAUAGGAAAAAUGCUAAAGGAAAAUGCAACAGUAAUUAUCUCUGAGUGGUAAGAAUACACAUGAUUUAAAUUUUUUUUUUCUGUGCAGAAAAGUUUCCCUUUUUCUUGAUAAAAUUAAUAUACAAAGUAUGCCUAUUAAAUACUCCCUAGCGAAAUUUUGAGGAUGAUCUUCUUCGAAAAAGUGGAAACUGGGCCAUCUAUAAAGUCUAAUCAAAGUUGAGUAAA
rnacentral:lncRNA from 1 species